ensembl:lncRNA
AAUACAAAUAUAAAGUAAAAACAAGUGUUAUCUAGCGAUCCGUUAUCUGUAUUAUGUUACUAGGAAAUAGAGAGACACCUUGGAAUAUCUUUCCAUUUUACGCAGUUUAGACUAUUACGUUUAAACGGCGUAAAAUAAGUUAUUUUUGUAUUGAACUUGACUCGUUGUUUUUUUUUAAUCGCUGUCUGGUGUCUAGUUACGUCACUCUGAGAGAUGCGCAUGGACAGAAUUUGUAGUGACAUAGCCUACGCCUAUAACCUAUUAGUGAAAGCGAAACACCAAGCUCAUGGAUUUAACGAGGCAGGGUUAUUUGAAACAAUUAAUUAAGUUAUCAUGUGUGAGAGGUCAUUCCUGAGUGUGCUUCCUAUUUAUGUCUAGUUUACCCCUACUGUCGACAAGCAACCCCCCCCCCAUUGAAAAUUGAAAGAUAUGGGGGGGGGGGGUGAUGGCAACCACCAUAGCAACCAUGACAGUCACGUGGCGCGGACGCAGGCCCAUUGAAAAGAAUAGGCCAAAAAAACGUAGCCGUGUAUUAGUAUAGAUAACUAGAAGCCGGUAUUUUUAAUGCAUUUUCCCCUGUGGGCAGUUUUACUACAAACUGGUGUGAGACUGGGUUGUUGUUUUGACGAAUCCUGCGCAGCCCGCCCCCCCCUUCUGAAGUCGAAAAUAAUCUCCGGAUUGAAAUGCAUUGGUUUAAUAUUGAAAUAAUUAAAUAUUAAAAUCUAUAUUAUCUAUAAAUAAAUAUUCAAUUAUUUUGUUCUAAUAUUAGAAGUAGAGCAUGUGGCUAUUAUCGUUAUAACAAGAUCUGUAGCCUAUCUGACCAUUGACAAUCCACCAAUCUAAUAAUUAAUUAAUUUAAGUGGAUUAUAUUUAAAUUAUUAUAACCAUGUAGCCUUUAUUUUCUUGGUGUCAUCAUUACAUCCUUUCUCGUAACAUCAAUAUAUAUUAUUGUUAUAACGAGAUCUGUAUCUGACCAUUGACCAUCCGUUUUGAAAUGAAUGAAAUUCAUAUAGACGGUAUGGCACUAUAUCCAUAUUCUCGCCAGCCCUUUUUGAAUUUAAUAGACCGCUUUCGUUGCUUCGAGGAGGUCUGGUGGUCUCAGUAUAUAAUAAAUAAAUAUAUAUAAAUAUGCAUGUAAAUAGGUAUAUAGCUGUAGGUAUAUAGGUAUAUACAUACCUAUUUAUUUACAUGUAUUUAUUUAUUAUAUACGGAGACCACCAGACCUCCUCGAAGCAACAAAAUAAAUAAAUAUAUAGGCCUAUGUAUAAAUAUAUAUAUAUAUAUAUAUAUAGAUGUUUUUUUAUUUCUUUAUUAUAUCCGGAGACCUCCAGACCUCCUGGAAGCAACGAAAAUGGUCUAUUAAAUUCAAGAUGGGUGCAUGGGCGAGAACAGGGAUAUAGUGCCAUACUGUCAAUAUGAAUUUCAUAAUUUCAUAUAUAUAUAGGCUAUGGUAAUUUCACGGAUCCCUGUGAGACCAGGUUGACUCAGUCUUUGAGACGGGGAUCUGUGUGUGUGCCACGAGUGUCGUUAAUUUGCAUUGGCGCAAAUUCCGUUGGCAUAUCACAGACAAUUUAAGUGAUUCCGUGAGGCCACCACGGAUUUUGAGUUAAGCGCCCGUGGUCGACUCGGUCGCUGAUACGGGGAUCUGUGUGUGUGCCACGGAAUAUGAGUGUCAUCAACUUGCAUUGGAGCAAAAUCCGUGGCAAUAUCACGGAAAUUGGCUUGUUUCCGUGAGGAUUCCCCGGAUUUUGAGUUAAGCGUCUUUGGUCGUUUCACGGAUUCCUGUGAGACCAGGUUGGGAGUUGACAGUUUAACAGUUAUUUAAUUAUUUUUCAUUUUGAGAUGAUAGUUAUUUUUGGACUACUUUAAUUGAAUAAUUGCAAAUAUUAAUGUGAUAACACAGGGUUAGGGUCAAUGUCUGCAUCCAUAUAUCCAAACACACUUUCCAGGUGCCUUUAUAUCAUUUGAAAUGUCCCUUUAGUUCUCCUUCAGGCCCUUGUAGUUCAUUGCCUGAUAUACAUGUCCAUACUGAGACAGGUCAGGAGCCGGUAGGGGUUAGCCAGUGUCUACUGAGACAGGUCAUUAAGAAGCAGGUAGGGGUUAGACAGUGGAAACACAGACACAGCAUAAAGGAGCAGGUCGGGGUUGGACAGUGGAUACGGUACUGGUCAUUAUGGAGCAGGUAGGGGAAGGGGUGGGGGUGGGGGAACUCGCCCAGGUGCACAGAGAUUUUUCCAAGACUUUAAAGCAAUUAUUUUUUUUCAAAGCCUAAUUUGUCUUCUUUUGAAACUAAAUACUAUAAGUAUUUUUGUGUUACUAUUAUCAGCUGUCACCUGAGGAUAGCAUGUCACGUUCUCAUCCAGCUCACUGUUUUAACCUCUGACAUCACAUGAACAUGACUUAAUCAAUAUGCUGGAGUCAAUACUGUGAAAUGUUGUCUUAUAGUAGCUCCUAUUCCCCACAAGCAGCUUGUGUAAUGAUCAGGGAACUAAGUGAAUAUAGUUUUAUAUAUGUAUGGUUGUAUUAUACACACCUUUAAGCUAUGGCAUUGCAGGGUAUUCUGAAGUAAUGAUGGUAACUACUUUGAGACACUUUUAUCUCUGCACUGUACAUAUUAAAAUGUCUAUUUUUUACCCUUUCUUGAAAAUAAGCUUCUGGAAAUAAUUCAAUCAGUUUCAUUGUUGAUGGUUGUGAUCAGUGCCAACAAGGAUUAUUAAUGUAUGGUUUCUCACGCUAUGCUACGCUAUUCAGUCCAUUAAAGGGACAAUGUUUAGCGUUUUAUGUAAUGUAUUUGCUUAAAUCAAUGUCUUCAUUCAUACAUUCACUGCCAAUAGUCUGACUUAUCCUCCUGAGGGAAGAAUUUUUUAUCUGUAUUAACAUUGAACUGGUAAAUCCUAAGGAGGCUUCCAUGUCGUUCAGGGUCUAGGAAUCUCCGAGAGGGACAUAAAGCAAUACGUGGUGGUACUAGCAGGCUACACUCAAUUUCGCUCAGAGCCAGUGUGACUGAAACGUAGCAGCAGCUCAGCAAGACGCGCUUUUUAAUGCCCCGGCAAAUUGGAAGGGCUGCAUUGCACUUUUGUUCAUAAUGCGAGAUCAUAUUUGUGCCACGCCACAGGAGGAGGAAUCCUCGUCAGCGAAAAAUCAAAACGGGAAUUAAAAAGGCAACUUGAUCGGCAAAUUAAAAAAACAAGGGUAAACAUCAGGGAAGCUGUCCUCUCCUCCUCUACCUACCAUUGAAUCACCUGAUAAUGAUGAUCUCUGAUAUGUACAUAGAAAGAUAAACGAAUAAAGAAUGUAUCACUACCAAUUAAAACAUAGUUCAUGCGUUGUAGAGCAAUAUAAGCACUAGUAAAAAAAUGUGUGUUUGUGUUCGUUCGUUGAUGCUAUAGCCUAG